AACAAGGCGUACCUGCGGACCUGCGGAAGGAUCAUUACAGAGUUCAUGCCCUCACGGGUAGAUCUCCCACCCUUGAAUACUAUACCUUUGUUGCUUUGGCGGGCCGCCUUGGCUACUGGCUCCGGCUGGUAAGUGCCCGCCGAAGGACCCCAAAACUCUGAAUAUUAGUGUCGUCUGAGUACUAUAUAAUAGUUAAAACUUUCAACAAUGGAUCU
rnacentral:misc_RNA from 1 species